rnacentral:lncRNA from 1 species
UUUUAAGUUUCAACUGCUCUCUGUUUAUACCCUGUGGCUAUAAAUUAACGUUUCAACUGCUCUGCUCUCUGUUUAUCCUUUUCUUGAAGACUCUUCAACUUCUCAAACAAAAUUCAGUUUCUCACCCAAAUUUUCGGGACGACUGCAUACCUCAACUUCUAUAAGUUUUUCUUAUAUGUAUCCUCCACUGCUUUCAUGCGUAUACGUUAUCUUCUCCGAUAGAUUGUCGUAGUGUUGCUUCAGAAAUUUUAGAUAUAUAUAAAUAUAUAUAUAUAUUCAUUCCCUCAAAUUCUUCAUCAUCACACUUAUAUACUACUGCAGUAAAAAGAAAAAAAAACUGAAGGAAAAAAGAGGCGCAUAACAUAUGCCCUCUUUUUGUCAACUGCUCUGUAUUUUAGGUUUUGUUUGAAGACUGUUCAACUUUUCAAAUCUAAUUCAGUUUCUCGCCCAAUUUUUCAAAUCCUGCGUGCCUCAAGGUCAGUAAAUUUUUUGGAUAUGUAUGUCGUAGUCUUGGUUUCAUGGUUUUAAAUUUGUUUACAUUACUUUUUCUUCUAAAAUUGUUGUAGUCAAUGCUGUUGUGGUUGCUUUGGAAAUACUGCCCUUCGACCUACAGUUUCAGAAUUCUAUAUACUUUGUUUUGCAUCCGAAUCAACAGAGUGAGGGUUUGCGAAGAAGCGUACAAAAUUCAACUUUACGUCUGCAAAAUACUCUUCAACUUCUCGCAACAAAUUUACUUUUUACGGCACUUUGACAUGGAAGAUAAGAAAAAUCUCGGAAGAAAAAAUAGAAUAUGCAUACAAAAGCAGAAACAGGCUAAAUUUUCGUUGAACGGUAUGAAAUUUAACAUUUAACAUUAUAUAUAUAUAUAUAUAUAUAUAUAUAUAUUAUUGUUAUGAAAUAAUAUAAGAACAAGAACAAUAAUACAAGAACAAGAACAAUAGAGA